CCUACGGGAGACAGCAGUGAGGAAUAUUGGUCAAUGGCCGCGAGCCUGAACCAGCCAAGUCGCGUGAAGGAAGAAUGCCCUACGGGUUGUAAACUUCUUUUAUAAUGGGAUAAAGUGAUACACGUGUGCAUUUUUGUAUUUACUUUAUGAAUAAGCAUCGGCUAACUCCGUUCCAGCAGCCGCGGUAAUACGGAGGAUCCGAGCGUUAUCCGGAUUUAUUGGGUUUAAAGGGAGCGUAGAUGGGUUUUUAAGUCAGUGGUGAAAGUUUGUGGCUCAACCUUAAAAUUGCAUUUGAUACUGGGAGCCUUGAGUACGUUUGAGGUAGGCGGAAUGCGUGGUGUAGCGGUGAAAUGCAUAGAUAUCACGAAGAACUCCGAUUGCGAAGGCAGCCUACUAAG
rnacentral:rRNA from 1 species